UUCCGGUUGAUCCUGCCGGAGGUUACUGCUAUCGAGGUUCGACUAAGCCAUGCGAGUCGAAUGUCCGUAAGGACAUGGCGAACUGCUCAGUAACACGUGGACAACCUGCCCUUUGGACAGGGAUACCCCUGGGAAACUGGGACUAAUCUCUGAUAAGUCUCCGUAGCUGGAAUGCUCGGAGACGGAAAGCUCCGGCGCCACAGGAUGGGUCUGCGGCCUAUCAGGGUAGUAGUGGGUGUAGAGUACCUACUAGCCUACGACGGGUACGGGUUGUGAGAGCAAGAGCCCGGAGAUGGAUUCUGAGACACGAAUCCAGGCCCUACGGGGUGCAGCAGGCGCGAAAACUUUACAAUGCGGGACACCGCGAUAAGGGGACCUCGAGUGCUGGCAUACAAUGCUGGCUGUCCAGCUGCCUAAAUAGCAGUUGAUAGCAAGGGCCGGGCAAGACCGGUGCCAGCCGCCGCGGUAACACCGGCGGCUCGAGUGGUAACCGCUAUUAUUGGGUCUAAA
rnacentral:rRNA from 1 species